AACGAACGCUGGCGGCGUGCCUAAUACAUGCAAGUCGAGCGGACAGAAGGGAGCUUGCUCCCGGAAGUUAGCGGCGGACGGGUGAGUAACACGUGGGCAACCUACCCUGUAGAUCGGGAUAACAUCGAGAAAUCGGUGCUAAUACCGGAUAAUCAUUUGAAGUGCAUGCUUCGAACGUAAAAGAUGGCUCCGGCUAUCACUACGGGAUGGGCCCGCGGCGCAUUAGCUAGUUGGUAAGGUAAUGGCUUACCAAGGCAACGAUGCGUAGCCGACCUGAGAGGGUGAUCGGCCACACUGGGACUGAGACACGGCCCAGACUCCUACGGGAGGCAGCAGUAGGGAAUCUUCCGCAAUGGACGAAAGUCUGACGGAGCAACGCCGCGUGAGUGAUGAAGGUUUACGGAUCGUAAAGCUCUGUUGUUAGGGAAGAACAAGUGCCGUUUGAAUAAGGCGGCACCUUGACGGUACCUAACCAGAAAGCCACGGCUAACUACGUGCCAGCCGCCGCGGUAAGAC
rnacentral:rRNA from 1 species